AGUUAUAUUUCCACGGCGUUAAGGGUGAUUAAAAAAAAUCUUACCACAAGUAAAGUUAAUACCACAUUAAGUCGUCAUACACUCCCAUGUUUGGAAAUAUCAAUUACAAAAGUAACUUUACACAAAAAGAACUUUCGACCUCACGACAGUUAAGACCCAAACUAGGAUUAG
rnacentral:rRNA from 1 species